CAGAGGUCCCGAGCGUUGUUCGGAUUCACUGGGCGUAAAGGGUGCGUAGGCGGUCGGGUAAGUCUGAUGUGAAAUCUCAGAGCUCAACUCUGAAACUGCAUUGGAUACUAUUCGGCUUGAGGUCUGGAGGGGGGACUGGAAUUCUCGGUGUAGCAGUGAAAUGCGUAGAUAUCGAGAGGAACACCAGUGGCGAAGGCGAGUCCCUGGACAGGUCCUGACGCUGAGGCACGAAAGCUAGGGGAGCAAACAGGAUUAGAUACCCUGGUAGUCCUAGCCGUAAACGGUGCGUAUUUGCUGUAAAAGGAAUCGACCCCUUUUGUGGCGUAGCAAACGCGUUAAAUACGCCGCCUGGGAAGUACGGUCGCAAGAUUA
rnacentral:rRNA from 1 species